AUAUUGGACAAUGGGCGGAAGCCUGAUCCAGCGACGCCGCGUGUGUGAAGAAGGCCUGCGGGUUGUAAAGCACUUUUAGUGGGGAUGAAAAGCUCAGACCUAACACGUCUGGGUCUUGACCUAACCCACAGAAAAAGCACCGGCUAACUCUGUGCCAGCAGCCGCGGUAAUACAGAGGGUGCGAGCGUUAAUCGGAAUUACUGGGCGUAAAGCGUGCGUAGACGGUUAUAGAAGUCGGGUGUGAAAGCCCCGGGCUCAACCUGGGAAUUGCAUUCGAGACUGUAUAGCUAGGGUACGGAAGAGGGAAGUGGAAUUUCCGGUGUAGCGGUGAAAUGCGUAGAUAUCGGAAGGAACACCAGUGGCGAAAGCGACUUCCUGGUCCAGUACCGACGUUCAGGCACGAAAGCGUGGGGAGCAAACAGG
rnacentral:rRNA from 1 species